rnacentral:rRNA from 1 species
UACAGAGGGGGCAAGCGUUGUUCGGAAUUACUGGGCGUAAAGGGCGCGUAGGCGGCCUGUUAAGUCGAACGUGAAAUCCCCGGGCUCAACCCGGGAACUGCGUCCGAUACUGGCAGGCUUGAAUCCGGGAGAGGGAUGCGGAAUUCCAGGUGUAGCGGUGAAAUGCGUAGAUAUCUGGAGGAAUACCGGUGGCGAAGGCGGCAUCCUGGACCGGCAUUGACGCUGAAGCGCGAAAGCUAGGGGAGCAAACGGG